rnacentral:rRNA from 1 species
UACGAAGGGGGCUAGCGUUGCUCGGAAUCACUGGGCGUAAAGCGCACGUAGGCGGAUUGCUAAGUCAGGGGUGAAAUCCUGGAGCUCAACUCCAGAACUGCCCUUGAUACUGGCGGUCUCGAGUCCGGGAGAAGUGAGUGGAACUGCGAGUGUAGAGGUGAAAUUCGUAGAUAUUCGCAAGAACACCAGUGGCGAAGGCGGCUCACUGGCCCGGUACUGACGCUGAGGUGCGAAAGCGUGGGGAGCAAACAGG